GUAAUUUAUAUACAAAUUAGUUCAUUUGAUUUUUGUAAUGUUAAAUUGCCGAUCGGGGCAUUAAUUAAAUAGGCGAUAACAAAUCUUAAGUCGUUAACCAGCUCAUAGCGAUCAAAUAUGACGAUGCUCGUCCCGGCUACUCUGGUUUUGAUGUCUACGUCGUAGCUGACAGUGGCCUCAUAUACAAAGGCCACCGGAUCGAGAUAGCUCGGCCGUGUGUGCCAUGCCACCAGAAUGAAGACCCUGAUCGUACGAGUUGUGCGCUGCUUGUCGUGCAAUUUAUCAGGGCCAAUACUUGGUCCCUGCAUUCCGCCACAAUGUUGUCGGGGACGUGCAGUGUGGAGCGGUUGUGGGCUACCGUGUAUAUUGUGACUUUCUUAAAUAUAAUCUGAAUUCUAGCAUCUUAAAGCUAGAUAAACUUAACAAGCUAGUGAGUUGUAUCUGUGAGUUGUUUGGCGAAAAUGAUUUCUAGGUCAGCAUGAUCAAGUAUGGUGGGGCUUACGAUAUUUAAAGGAUUAAGAUAUUUAGAAUGGGUGAUUUUUAUUCUUUUGGUUGCUUAUUUUGGUGCGAAGCAUUCUGUUUUUGGUUAACAGAGUCUAAUACAGGUGACCCGUGUCGACCUGCUCUUUUUAGCCGUCUUUAACAAACAGUUAACAGUUUGAGUUUUCGUGUUUAUUCUUACCUGGCUAUUAUUUGUUCCGAUCAACUGUAACUCUGUCAUUUUUCUACUCUGUUACUCUUUCGCGUCGGGGGUGCCGACUAUCAGUUUCAAGGCUAUGCCCAAGCAGUCCAAAGUGUUCGCCAAGUCUCGUACGUCUGUGUCUACUUCUAAACAUUUUCGCAUGUCGUCGUAUGUCUCGCUAGUCAUGUAGUUUGCGAGGUACGCUAUCUGUCCAAGUACAGUAUAAUUUGCUUAGUUGCCUUGAUACUUUGCUGCAUCGGUAAGAUAGCUGCCUGAAAAUAUCUUUUCGCUGCAAUAAGACCUCAUUUUGGAUGAAAAUAAUUAAUUAAGUGUAUCUAACUUCACAGCAUAUUGCACUUAAGCGCCUCAUAUCGUCAGUUAUUUAUUACCAAUUUCUAUCAAUAUCAUGUAAGUUAACUGCGCCUUCUAUGAUCAAAUUUGGCAAAUUUUGUAGUCGACAUUUAUUUGAUUUGUACAUGUUUGUUUGUUCUGCGCAUGACUGUUUAUUUUUUUUUGCUUAGAUCGUGUCUUUUACCUUUCAGUACAUAUAGCCCUACAUUAUUAAGUGUGAAAUUAUAAAGAUGGAUAAAGCAAAGCGCGUUGUUGGGUUGACCAUUAAAGAAAAACUGCAAAUUAUUGCAGCUAUAUUGACAACAAAAAUGAUGUUUGCACUAAGUACAAGUGCCAUGGAAGUGUGACAGUUCAACAAUUAACCGCAUAAUUAAAAAGCAAGCCGAAAUCCAACAGUCUGCAUCCGUUUCUGACUUAAAACGAAAGCGCCAACGAAAAGGUUUGCACGACUUGGUAGAGGAAGCGUUGUAUAUAUGGUUUAAGCAACAAGAAUCAAACAAUGUUAUUCUUGAUCGGCAUAUCAUUUUGGCUGAGGAAAACGAGUUUUUUACAAGGCUUAACGACGAUUAUGAACGGGACGAAACUGGCCCCUUUUAUAAAGUAAUGCCGAAUGCUACAUUUUAUACUUGUGGAAAUCAGUUAAAUGGUUAGAAUUCCCAGAAAGCAAGGCUUACAGAUCAAAAUCCCCACGCUGUUUUAAGAAUGUCAAUGUGCCGCUGCCAUAUUAUGCCAACAAGAAAGCAUGGAUGACUAGCCAGAUUUGGGAAGAAAUAAUCACCCAACUUGAUGUUGAAAUGAGAAACCAAAAGCGGAAAAUGUGGUUCUUUAUUAACAACGCAACAAGUCGCACUAGUGUAAAAGACUACGAAAACAUCAAAUUUUGCUUUAUUCACCAAAUACAACGGCUUUAAUUUAUCCUACGGACCAAGGCAUCAUUCCCUCUCUUAUAUUAGAGUAUAGACGUAUAUUGGUUAAACAACAGCUGAUUGCUGUAAACUGUGGAAAAACCGCAAAUGCAUUUUUAAAAACAUUGUCGUUGCUGGAUGUUCUAUAUUUUGUAGACUAGGGAUGGAAGAAAGUAAAAGGGUUAACAAUUCACAUUUGUUUUAAAAAGACGGGAUUUAACCUAAGUUUUGAGGGCGGAGAUUCUAUUGAAGUAAAUGAGCCAGUAUCUUACUUGGAACGAAUAUUGACGCAGAUGUGUCUUGUCAUGGUUACUUAACUGAGGAGGAAAUUGUUCGUUCCCUAGUUAAAAAAAGCGAUGAAAACAGUGAAGACGAAGACCUCCAAAAUGAUGAUGACAAUGGCGAUGACAUUAACACCCGUACUUUUAUUGAAGGUUUUUGCGCCAUUAAAUUGCUGAGGAGCCUUUGCGUUGAUCACAAUUGUGAUGAUUUCUUACCAAAUCUUGUUUCUUUGGAAAAUACACUUUUAAAUUUAAAAUUGAAUGUGGAAACAUCGCAAACAAAGAUAACUGAUUACUUUUGAGCAAUUCGAUGCAUGGUAUAGUAUUAAAAAACCAACCUAAUUAAUAAUCUUUAAGUAACAGAUACUCUUUUCAAGAAUACAGAUGUGUUGAAUUUUGAUUUGUUUUUCUUAUGUAAACAAUAAACUGUACUGAAGUUGAA